GGUAAUCAACUACAAGCACAGAAAGGGGGAAAAUAGAACAUGUAAAAAUGUGUUAACUUCCCCUUUAACUGACGGUAUAACAACAGAAUUUUCCCUUGGGGAUCAAUAAAAUAUCAAAUGCAAACAUUUCACAGUUUUGCUAUAGGAUUGCUGUUAAACUCUAACUCACAUAGUGAUGAUUAUUUUGAAACCAUCUAUAGAAUGGAUUGGAGAACAACGAACAGAACAAUUGAGUGUAAUUCCCCCACUAACGGUAAUUUUUUUGUCUCAGCAUUCGUGAAAUUUGACGUACCAGUCGCCAGCCAAACGAAUACAAAGCUGUAUGAUGAGUCGGGAACUGAAGUUGUUGGAGAAGUGUUUGAGGAGGUGCUGACACCACCAAGUCCUGGUGUUUUUACAAUCACACUGGACAACGAUACUGAUACUGGUGUUGGUUUUUCACAGUACUAAAGUUAGAGGAGGGUUUAACUGUCAGCCUCUCCCUUGGGGAUAGUCACUUUGCAUAGAGCUGUGUUGCUUUAUCACAUUGAUUUGGAAUGUCUGUCUUUGUAAAAACCUUUGCAAUAAUCAACCACUUUGUGGGACAGUAUCUUCCCAGAUGACUUCCUCCUUUGCCAGUUCCUUGUUGGAGAUCUCGUCCACUGAGUCGGAUGAUACUGUCAUUCUGAGCGAUGAUGGGAGCCCUUCAAGAAAACGACAGAGAGCUGAGGAUGAAGCUAAACAUAAGAAAUUUGGUGGCGAUCUUGUCAUCAAAGAAAACUCUCGAACCAAAGGGCUGACUCAUGGCACCAGACGAAAGAUGAUUAAUAUUCUCACAGCAGAGAUGACCGAGACUCACGGGUAACCACUAAACCAGGCACGCAAGAAAGCUGUCUGUAUCUAGGCUGUAUUUCAGAUUAAUAUUGCAAUUUUAGUGACCGGAACCAACAGGGGGCUUCAUUGCAAAUUGAUUAAUAAAGUAAUAAAGUACUCUUCUUGUCAGGACAUCACCACCACGCCAUGUGAGGGAGACAUAUGCUCAAUGAAUUGUCGUCUUGUUCCCUUACCUCAAGGACCCCUACAAAACCAAAGGAUAUGAACAUUAUUUUACCCUCAAACUGGAAAUGGUUACUUGUCCUGGAAAAUCCAAACCAUCCAGAGGAAUUCAGCUUCAUCUGAGAAACGACCAUCUGGCCAGUCAUUCAGCGGUGGCCCAACAGCUGAGAGAGAGACUUCAUCCCGUCCAGAGAUUACCCUGAGUGAUGAACAGUGCAGGGAGGCCAUUUCCCUCAUGAAGCAUUCUUCUGAUGAGGCCACCAUCAAGCAGAAGAUGAAGAUUUGCAGUGGUGUCAAGUACUUAAGUAAAAAUACUUCAAAGUACUUUUUUGGGGGGGUAUCUGUACUUUACUU